rnacentral:rRNA from 1 species
UGACGCUGGCGGCAGGCCUAACACAUGCAAGUCGAGCGGUAACAGAACUAGCUUGCUAGUUGCUGACGAGCGGCGGACGGGUGCGUAACACGUAGGAAUCUGCCCGGUAGUGGGGGAUAGCCCGGAGAAAUCCGGAUUAAUACCGCAUACGCACUCUCUUUUAUAAGAGGGUGGAAAGAUGGCCUCUUCUUGAAAGCUGUCGCUAUCGGAUGAGCCUGCGUCGGAUUAGCUAGUUGGUAGGGUAAAGGCCUACCAAGGCAACGAUCCGUAGCUGGUCUGAGAGGAUGAUCAGCCACACUGGGACUGAGACACGGCCCAGACUCCUACGGGAGGCAGCAGUGGGGAAUAUUGCACAAUGGGCGCAAGCCUGAUGCAGCCAUGCCGCGUGUGUGAAGAAGGCUCUAGGGUUGUAAAGCACUUUCAGCGAGGAGGAAAGGUUAAAGAUUAAUACUCUUUAGCUGUGACGUUACUCGCAGAAGAAGCACCGGCUAACUCCGUGCCAGCAGCCGCGGUAAU